UGCACAACGCCCUGAGCUGAACGAUUUGGCAGACUCAGCUCUAAAGAGUAGGCUUUUGUGUGGCGAGCACUUCUCACCGGACUGCUUCAACUCUCGUGCCAAAGUACGGUUGAAGAAAACAGCUUGUCCGACAGUUCCACUGCAGGGACAAGCCAGUACUUCACUGCAGAGACAAUGGCCUGGGCUACUUGCACUUGAUUAUGAUAUGCCUCUUCAAUCACAAGAGCAAACACAGGAGCCUCAUGG